UACGUAGGGGGCAAGCGUUGUCCGGAAUCAUUGGGCGUAAAGAGCGUGUAGGCGGCCUGGUAAGUCCGCUGUGAAAGUCGGGGGCUCAACCCUCGAAUGCCGGUGGAUACUGUCGGGCUAGAGUGCGGAAGAGGCGAGUGGAAUUCCUGGUGUAGCGGUGAAAUGCGCAGAUAUCAGGAGGAACACCAAUUGCGAAGGCAGCUCGCUGGGACGUAACUGACGCUGAGACGCGAAAGCGUGGGGAGCAAACAGG
rnacentral:rRNA from 1 species